rnacentral:lncRNA from 1 species
GAGUCUACUUUGGGUAAACGGGGUAUGCAUGAAUGAACCUUGGGUAAGAUUUUAAUUUUUGAAACAGUCAAGAUGAGUAGAUUAUUCAGAUCCAGCUCUUCAGUUAGUAACAGGUCUGCCUUGCCUCCUGUUCCAGAUAUAGUGAACCAAGAAGAACAUAAUUAUAAAAACCUUAAUCAAGUUUUAAACGAUUGGAAUAUACCUAGGGUAUCUCCAAAAGAAAUUUAUCAGUCAACUUUUUUAGAUAAAUUUAA